rnacentral:rRNA from 1 species
CUGGCUCAGGAUGAACGCUGGCGGCGUGCUUCAUACAUGCAAGUCGAACGUGAAGCUGACUUCGGUCAGUGGAAAGUGGCGGACGGGUGAGUAAUACAUAGGGAAAUCUGCCCUUAGGAAGGGGAUAACAGUCGGAAACGAUUGCUAAUACCCUAUAUGAGCUUGGUUGCAAUACCAAUCUUGAAAACUCCGGUGCCUAAGGAUGAGCCUGUGCCUGAUUAGCUUGUUGGUGGUGUAAUGGACCACCAAGGCGACGAUCAGUAGCUGGUUUGAGAGGAUGAUCAGCCACAAUGGAACUGAGACACGGUCCAUACUCCUACGGGAGGCAGCAGUAGGGAAUUUUGGGCAAUGGGCGAAAGCCUGAACCCCAGCAACGCCGCGUGUGUGAUGAAGCCCUAGGGGUGUAAAACACUGUCAGUAGGGAAGAAACUUGACUGUACCUACAGAGGAAGCACCGGCUAACUCCGUGCCAGCAGCGGC